rnacentral:rRNA from 1 species
CCUACGGGUGGCAGCAGUGAGGAAUAUUGGUCAAUGGGCGAGAGCCUGAACCAGCCAAGUCGCGUGAGGGAGUACUGCCCUAUGGGUUGUAAACCUCUUUUGUCGGGGAGCAAAAGCCGGACGUGUCCGGCUGUGAGAGUACCCGAAGAAAAAGCAUCGGCUAACUCCGUUCCAGGAGCCGCGGUUAUACGGAGGGUGCGAACGUUAACCGGAGUUUUUGGGUGUUAAGGGUGCGCAGGCGGGUUGUUAAGGUAGCGGUAAAAGCGUGGGGCUGAACCCCAUCAAGCCGUUGAAACUGGGGGUCUGGAGUGUGCGAGAGGUAUGCGGAAUGCGUGGUGUAGCGGUGAAAUGCAUAGAUAUCGCGCAGAACCCCGAUUGCGAAGGCAGCAUACCGGUUCACAACUGACGCUGAGGCACGAAAGCGUGGGUAUCGAACAGGAUUAGAUACCCGUGUAGUC